ACCAUAGCUCAGUGGUAGAGCAUCUGCCUUGCGUGCAAGAAGGUCCUAGAUUCAAACCCUGCUAGGGCUA